GACUUUAGCUUGCUAAAGUUGGAAGAGUUGCGAACGGGUGAGUAACGCGUAGGUAACCUGCCUACUAGCGGGGGAUAACUAUUGGAAACGAUAGCUAAUACCGCAUAACAGCAUUUAACACAUGUUAAAUGCUUGAAAGAAGCAAUUGCUUCACUAGUAGAUGGACCUGCGUUGUAUUAGCUAGUUGGUGAGGUAAAAGCUCACCAAGGCGACGAUACAUAGCCGACCUGAGAGGGUGAUCGGCCACACUGGGACUGAGACACGGCCCAAACUC
rnacentral:rRNA from 1 species